GACGAACGCUGGCGGCGUGCUUAACACAUGCAAGUCGAACGGAGUAAGGAGAGCUUGCUUUUCUUACUUAGUGGCGAACGGGUGAGUAACGCGUGAGGAACCUGCCUUUCAGAGGGGGACAACAGUUGGAAACGACUGCUAAUACCGCAUGAUACUUGCGAAUGGCAUCAUUUGCAAGUCAAAGAUUUAUCGCUGAAAGAUGGCCUCGCGUCUGAUUAGCUAGUUGGUGGGGUAACGGCCCACCAAGGCGACGAUGUCUAGGGGUUCUGAGAGGAAGGUCCCCCCACACUGGAACUGAGACACGGUCCAGACUCCUACGGGAGGCAGCAGUGAGGAAUAUUGGUCAAUGGACGCAAGUCUGAACCAGCCAUGCCGCGUGCAGGAUGACGGCCCUAUGGGUUGUAAACUGCUUUUAUGCGGGGAUAAAUGAUCCUACGUGUAGGAUUUUGCAGGUACCGCAUGAAUAAGGACCGGCUAAUUCCGUGCCAGCA
rnacentral:rRNA from 1 species